rnacentral:lncRNA from 1 species
GGGGGGGGGCUUCGCCGGGACCCCCAUUGCAGCACUGCACAUCCCGGCCACGGCGGUGACCCCAACGUGUGCCACAGCGUUGGGUCAGCUCUGCCAAAGCUGUGUGCCAGCAGCCACCCCGAGCCAUGGCACCGCGCAGUGAUCCCCUGCGCCCGGCCGGGCACCCGCAGAGCACAGACAGCAUCCAAACCCAGCCGGGGCUCCUGCACCCAUCGCAGCUUUCUCCCUCCAUGCAUUCAGUUUCCUCCACACCAACCCCCCCGGCUGACCCCCCCCCCCUCUGUACCCUCCCCCCAUUGCAUGCGUCCGGAUGGGACUUUCCCCGUGCGCGGGGACAGGGCAGUGUGUGUGGGUGGCGGGCGGGGGAAGAGCAUUUUCCAGCGUUGGAAACCAAGAGGAAAACAGAGCGCGGGACAGAACGGUGCAGGUUAAUCAUUACAGCAGUGCUCCCCCCGGAGAAGGAAGUUGCGAGGACGUGGCCUUCAGCCACCCAAGGGCGGCGUGGCGCAAGGACACCCCGCGCUCUGCUGCCCUUCCCACACUGCGGUGCCCUCCGGUGCCACGAGGCCUCGAUACGGGGCGAGGAGCUGUGCCCCCCCGCCCCACAGAAGCCCCCAGCCUGGGGCUGCUCCCCCCGGUUGCCCCCAGACCGCAACGUGAGGACAGGCAGUGUGGGUUUGGGUUUGGGGGUGCGUUUGGGCAGGGCUGGGGGUGGCUCUGCACCACGACUCAGUGCCACGGGGGGGAUCCUGGGGCUGCCGCAGGGUUGGGGCGAUGUUUUUUUUCCCCUUGGAGAGCUCAGACUUUUCCCCUCAUUCAGGAUCCGGGUGGGACCGUGGAAACACAGCAAGGCUGGGCACGGUGGGGGGGGGGGGAUGGCAGCGCUGGGACCUGACAGCAGCGCCCGGCCCCUCCCGGAAAGCGCUCCCCCAGGAGCAGAGGCGCCGGCAGGGACGCGAUGCUCCGCUCCCCACCCUCCAUCUGGCAGCAGGAGAUGUAAGUCACAGGCAAAAGUGCUGGGUGGAAAGGAAGGACGCGGCCCCGCUCACGCAGCUUUCCAGGCAGCCCAUCCCUCCGGCACGCAUCGCUGCCUGCCGGGGGUGGGGGGGACGUGAGGCAGGCUGUGCCCGGGCCUUGGCGUGCUGCUGCAGGGCUUCCCUUGGAGCACAGCACCCUGUAGUGCUGCAGGGCCCCACUGCCUGCACCCCCUACGGGGCAGGGAAGGGGUUUUCGCCCCACCUGCACGGGUGGACGCUGCAGGGAUGCUGGAGUUCUGGCACUGCGGGCUGUGCUGAGCAGCUGAACCACACGUCCCCGUGCUGAGAUACAUUGGAGAGGAGAGGAGGGGAUGAUCAGCCAUGGGAUCGCGCUGUGGGGCACAGCCCCAGCUCUGCAGCACCAACCAUGGGUCGCAGCACUGCCCUGGGCCUGGGGAGGACCCCCGCUGUUGCCUGCAGCCUCAGCCCCUCUCCCGGCAUCCAGGUGGGCAACGGGGGAGGGAGGAUGAGGUGGGGGGGUGGGGGGCAGAGCAGGGCAGGCAGAGCCCGCAGCACCGGGGCUGAACCCCCCCCAUGCACAGGAGAGCAAGCGGGCACGGAGAGACCCCCCCACCACCCCCACCAGCCCAGAUGUGGGGCAGAGCUGAGCCCUCCCCCCCCCAACUACCCGUCCCAGCAGGCAGCACGCCGCACCAAGGACCCCUCCCGUCCCGACGGAGCCGGCGGCGGGCAGUGGGAAGAGCCGACGCGAGGACGCUGACGGAGACACUUCUUUCCCCCCCCCCUCCAUCCUAAAAAUAGCAGCCGGCCGUUCCCGGCUUCCCGGCCUCGCCAACGCUCCUCCAUCCGAUGACAAAACGCAGCCACCUUCCGUCGGAAAGAGAAGCGGCCGCGUGUGCGCCGAGGGAGGGCAGAGCGCAAUGCAAAUAGCAGCCGGCACCGAGGGCAGAGCGGCCGCCCGGCCCCCGUUAUUCCCGAGCCGUUUUAAUGAGAGCUCAUUGAGGCUUCGCUCACGCACAGAGCGACGUCUGACCUUCAGGAGAGAAAGGAAAAGGGAGAAAGGAAAAGGGGAAAGAAAGGAGCGGGAGCGGCUCGGAAAGUGGGACCGGGCUGAGCCUCAAAUAGGCUCAGCGUCAGGACUGGGAGGCUUUUAAUAAGCUCCUGAGCGAGAAAUCUAACACCGCAGGCACUAUUUUUGAUCACUUGUCGGGGGGGGGGAGGAGAGGGGGGGAGAGCAAGAGGAGGGGGAGGAGGUGGCGGUGAGAAGGCAGCAGAGAUUUACAUCCUGGGUGGCAGCACCGAAAAUAACCGAGUCCCGCUGCGUGCGCUCCAUCAGCACGGAGGGAUGAGGGGAUGGGGAGGGGGGGCUGCCGUGUGCCGUGGGGACAGCGGACCCUCAGCCCCCCCCCCCAUCCCGUGCUCUGUGAGGGAACCUGAAAUCCCCGCUGCAGGCGUGGGGAGGACGGCAGUGAGCUCACAGCCUCACAGCAGAUGGUGCCGUUGGCAAAACGCGUCCUCAGGCGUCUGGUGGGGGGAUUGGGCCCCUCGGUGAGCCACGCUGCACCAGGAAGCAGCUCCUGCCCACCCCAGGGGAUACCAGGGCUGCCCCUCAAGCAGUGCUGAGUGUUGCACAGCCUCAAAGCGAGGGCAGCUUUGGUGGAGCACCGCCAACACCCCCAACGCUGCACCGACUGAGAGGCUCCCACCACCCACAGCAGCUGCUUCCCUCUUGCACCGAGCCUGUCUCCAAGGAGCAGAGGGAGAUUUCCUCCUGCUCUGCAUGCCACACACGCAGGGGAAGCGGUGACAGCCUGCAGCAGCAGGGAGAAGGGUCAGAGCUGGGCAGCUGCUGUCCAGCUGCAGGAAGGACUGUGCAGAAACAACAGUCAAUGUGGUUCCUGCAGCAACGGAGUCUGGAGGCUGAGCAAAGCUGGGGGAGGGCGGGGGAGCCGGGACAGGAAGCCUCCGGUACGGACCUGCAGCGCCCUGCAGAUUCCUCCUCCUGUGCUGCCACAGUCCCGGUGGGUUCCUGGAGGCAGCACAGGAAGGGGAGAGCCAUCAGAUCUGCCUGAUGAGCCUGGGGCGAACCUCCCACGGGAACCCCCAACGGCACCCCAGAACAGAUUGGAGGUAACACUGCAGCGGGGGCUGCACCCUGCACACCCUGCCCCAUACCCAGCUGCGUGUGCUGCCUGGGAAGAAGGUGACACCACGAGAUGGGACUGCAUUUCCUUUUAAUUGAUCAGAGCCGCUUCUCCGCCUCCGUUUGUCCCACACCAUCUGUACAAACGGGGAAGCCAGAACAAGGAGGACAGUCUGGGGUUUUUCUAGAGCGUCAGUGGGAUUCCUCCGUUACUCCAAGGCUUUGACGAGGGCCUCGUUGGCUUCCACUUUAAUCUGGGCUUCGGCCCUAGCAGCUUCGUCGGAGGCUGCAGCCAUCUCUGAAACGGCCUUCUCCAGGUUUGAUUUUGCAGUAGCCAGAUCCAGCAUGUCCAUCGUCACCGCCUCCUCCGCCAGCACCUGCACUGUGGAGUCUGCAUUGACCGUGACGGAGCCGCUGCUCACGAAGUAUUUGGUGGCCGUGCCGUCCUCGGCGUACACCGUCACCACGCCCGGCUUCAGGACCUGCAGCGUGGGGACGUGGGAGGCCAGGAUGCCGAAGGAGCCGGUCAGGGUGGGCACGUCCACCUGCUUCACGGUGGUACCGUUGUAGAACACCUGCGUGGGAGAGGCGAAGGUGAAGGCCAUGGCCGCGGGCCCGGCCGCAGCAUCGGCGUAGGAGCGGGCGCGGGGCGGCGGCAGCGCCGCGAGGCGGAGGAGUUGGCGGGCGCGGAUCAUGGCGGCGGCGGCGGCGGCGGCGGCGGCGGCGGCGAAGGGCGAGCGGACGGCGCGGGGCGGGCGGCGGGACUGCAGC